GAUGAACGCUGGCGGCGUGCCUAAUACAUGCAAGUCGAGCGAACAGACGAGGAGCUUGCUCCUCUGACGUUAGCGGCGGACGGGUGAGUAACACGUGGAUAACCUACCUAUAAGACUGGGAUAACUUCGGGAAACCGGAGCUAAUACCGGAUAAUAUAUUGAACCGCAUGGUUCAAUAGUGAAAGACGGUUUUGCUGUCACUUAUAGAUGGAUCCGCGCCGCAUUAGCUAGUUGGUAAGGUAACGGCUUACCAAGGCAACGAUGGGUAGCCGACCUGAGGGGGGGACCGGCAGCAGGGGAGAGAGGAAGCGCAGCAACCCCGGGAGGGAGGCACGGGUCGGAAAUCUACGGGAAGGAGCAAAAGCGAAUAGGGGAAACGGGGCGGAAGUGAGAAAGGGCUUCGGCGCGUAAAUCAUGGUUGUUGGGGAAAAAAAAAGGUUUAAGAAACGGGACGAGAAUGACCGUAACCGAAGAAGAAGCCCCGGCUAAAUUCGUG
rnacentral:rRNA from 1 species